ensembl:lncRNA
GAAUGACUUAAAGAAUAUUGAGUUCUUUUGCAAUCACAGAAUAGUAGGAGGCAAUACAAAGGAUAAAAUGAUGGUGGGAACUCAGAAUGUGUCAUCAAGUACAGUACCCACUGACACCAAACAACCAACCUUUUUAUCAGGCACGCUAGGCUCUGUGAGACAUGGUCACUGCCUCUAAGGAGUUUAAACCUAGUUAAACAGAAGCAUGUAAACUUUUGAAAAGAGAAGUAACAGAUCAAGUCCAUUUAUAAGAGCAAAAUGAAAGACAGAAGCAAGGAGCUCAGAGGAAGUCCGCUUAGGCGGGGCAAACUGGUCUGUCUAGGGAAGAAAGUUCCCAAAGGAAGGAAAUACAAUGUGAAUUUUAAAGGAUGUUAAAGAUUUAGAUAAAUGGGAAGGAAGAGGAAAAUAGAAUCCUUUCUAUAGAUGCAAUAUUGUGAGCAAAGUCAGAGAGGAAGGCAUCCACCUGGUGAUUUAAGGAAAUUAGGAAUGUACCGGUCCAGUUGACUAAAUCCCAGACUUCCACUGCCAAUCUAUAUGUACAUAUAUGGUGAAGACUUUACACGCAUACUUCCCCUUGCCCACCUCAGGUGUAGACCAGAAUUAUAAUCAUAUUUCUUCCAUUAAAAUAAGUGAGCAUGAUUGAUGAUAGUAUGAGGAUCUGUGAUUUUUCUGUUAGCCUAAUAACAGUGGAUAUUUAUUGAAUUCUCCCUACAUGUUAAGCAUUUUAUAUAGUAAUUCUCUUAAGCUUCACAACAACCCUGCAAAACAGAUAUUAUUUUGUAUUUCCAUUUUACAUAAAGAAACCUAAGGUUUAAGUAACUUGCCAAACUGCCACAUACAGGGUUCACAAUCAGGACUGUGAUUUCAAAGCUCAUGAUCUAAGGCAAUAAGCCACAGUGUUGCAACCAACUUUGUAAUUUUGCCACUUCUAUAUUCCUUGAUAUUUUUCUAUGGUAGACACAUAGCUAUUUUCUUUAAUUAUCUUCUCAAAAUUUUCAGUUUUCUAGAAAAAGCUUAAAAAACACCUGCAAACAAGAUGGUUUUUGGUUAAAGGUUUAUAGGAUUUAUUUGAGACAUCCUGGAAGGAGAGGGGUGGUACACUCAUCACUUCUUGCUUUUUGCAAUGUGCUCAUUUCUCUGCUUGUUCCAAUUGAUUUUUUAUUCAUUGAGCUAUUUUCCCCUGCCCCAGACUUCUCUCUCUCCUCCUUUAUCAUGUUCUGUGGACCAUCCUUGCUGUCUGCCUACUUUAUUUUCAACAUACCCUCCAACAUUAGUAGCACCACUGCUGGACCACUUGUCAUCCACACACAAUCUGAGAAACAUUUGAUAGUGGGGGCUGGACCACUUGUCAUCCACACACAAUCCGAGAAACAUUUGAUAGUGGGGUAGAAAUGCCUUUAAAUGGCCAUUCUCUUCAAUCCCCUGCUGUCAAGUCACCACUGUGCCCAUGAUCAACUGCGAUCACCAUUCAAAUCUGAAUAGAAACAUCGAUUCCUCAAGGAAGCCUCCCCUGACCUCCCCCCAAUUAUAUCAUGUUCCUUUGUUUGUGUUUCAUAACUUGCUGUAAUGUUCUUCUUUAUACCAUUAAUGGUUAAUAAUUAUAUAGUUAGGCAAUGGUGCAAUAAAUGUGCGACCCUUCCAUAGGGCUGAGUGCUCCAGAGGGGAGAGAAGUGUAUGUUUCACUCACCAGUGCAUCCUCACUUCUGUGUUCAAUGCCUAGCUCAUCAUGGGAAUCAAUAGAUGCUAAUUCAUAGUUAUUAUUAUUAUUGUUACAAAUAUCAAGGUCAGUGAUCAACUUUUUUUUUUUUUAAUUGUAAAACAAAACCUAGCUAGAGGUAAGGGAUUUAUAGAUUAACUUAGCAUUUCCUUCACUCUUCCCUGGUGGCUCAGAGGUUAAAGCGUCUGCCUGCAAUGNNNNNNNNNNNNNNNNNNNNNNNNNNNNNNNNNNNNNNNNNNNNNNNNNNNNNNNNNNNNNNNNNNNNNNNNNNNNNNNNNNNNNNNNNNNNNNNNNNNCAAAGUGAUGUCUCAGACACUAGAAAGAAAAAUUCUGCCUGCAAUGCAAGAAACCUGGGUUCGAUCCCUAGGUUGGGUAGAUCCCC